CAGUUUAAAGCCACCUUAGUUUCUUGACUGUGAGAAGCUGAAUCCAUGUUUGCAGAAGUAAUGGCAUCCCAAGAGAGAAGGAGCUCUGCUUGAACUGCUGCCUUGCAAGCGCUCCUUGUUUCACAAUUUACACCUACCCUGGUGAGUAAGAAAUGUUGUGUGGUGGAGCUGCAUCCA